rnacentral:snRNA from 1 species
CCCGUGGGCCGAGCCAGUG